rnacentral:rRNA from 1 species
GAUUCAUGGCUUGCUAGAAUAGACGAUUUGUGAAUCCAAUGUGUUAUUUUACUAUUGUUGUUAGGUUGUUAUAAUUCAUCAAAGGCGGCUACUGAGUAUACAUACCGUGUUUAUCUCGCCUGCCUUCUUAGGAAAAAUCCUAUACUCAAGGUAUCAUCCGAAGGGGCGACAUACCCAAUUCUCGGAUUCCUCAAGCAAUAGAUGUAGUGUUGUCAGUCUUUGAAGAUGCGAAUCUGUCUGCUCCUAGGCAACAACAGAGGGAUGAUUGGGAUGUAAAAAAGCCAUAGUGUAUUGAGGCUUAGUGGAGUCAGUCACUAGCCUCUCCAUUGUUUGAACAACAGCAUCAAGCGGCGCCAAAACAUGUCAGUUACUUCCAUCUUGGGCAUAGCCAACCUUAUUGGUGGACCGGCUCUCAUUUUUCAGAAUGUAACAAACUUCUCUCCUGUCUAAAUUUUCAAAUUAUUUUACUAAACAUUACAAAAAA